rnacentral:rRNA from 1 species
UUGCCAGCCCGCUCAGAAACUUAAAGGAAUUGACGGGGCCCGCACAAGCGGUGGAGCAUGUGGUUUAAUUCGAUGAUACGCGAGGAACCUUACCUGGGCUCGAACGUAAGAUGACUGUAGGUGAAAGCUUACAUCUCUUCGGAGCAUUUUACGAGGUGCUGCAUGGUUGUCGUCAGCUCGUGCCGUGAGGUGUCGGGUUAAGUCCCAUAACGAGCGCAACCCUACCUUUAGUUGCCAUCAGGUAAUGCUGGGGACUCUAAAGGAACUGCCUACGCAAGUAGUGAGGAAGGCGGGGAUGACGUCAAAUCAGCACGGCCCUUACGUCCAGGGCUACACACGUGCUACAAUGGCCGAUACAGAGGGCAGCUACCUGGUGACAGGAUGCAAAUCUCCAAAGUCGGUCUCAGUUCGGAUCGGAGUCUGCAACCCGACUCCGUGAAGUUGGAUUCGCUAGUAAUCGCGCAUCAGCCAUGGCGCGGUGAAUACGUUCCCGGGCCUU